rnacentral:rRNA from 1 species
UACGUAGGGUGCGAGCGUUGUCCGGAAUUACUGGGCGUAAAGCGUCCGCAGGUGGCUGUGUAAGUCUGCUGUCAAAGAGCGAAGCUCAACUUCGUAAAGGCAGUGGAAACUACACGGCUAGAGUGCGUUCGGGGCAGAGGGAAUUCCUGGUGUAGCGGUGAAAUGCGUAGAGAUCAGGAAGAACACCGGUGGCGAAGGCGCUCUGCUAGGCCGCAACUGACACUGAGGGACGAAAGCUAGGGGAGCGAAUGGG